rnacentral:rRNA from 1 species
UCAAAGAUUAAGCCAUGCAUGUGUAAGUAUAAACAACUUGUAUUUGUGAAACUGCGAAUGGCUCAUUAAAUCAGUUAUAAUUUAAUUGAUAAUGACAGUUUACUAUAUGGAUAGCCGUAGUAAUUCUAGAGCUAAUACAUGGGAAAAAGUCAAACCUUAAUGGAAUGACUGUAUUUAUUAGAUCGCAGACCAAAACAUUAUUCUUUUCGGGGAAUAAUGUAAUAGGGUGAAUCAUGAUAAGUUUGUCGAAUCGGGGAAUUAUAUCUUCGAUGUGUCAUUGAAAUUUCUGCCCUAUCAACUUGUGAUGGUAGGAUAGAGGCCUACGAUGGUUUUGACGGGUAACGGGGGAUUAGGGUUCGAUUCCGGAGAGGGAGCCUGAGAGAUGGCUACCACUUCUAAGGAAGGCAGCAGGCGCGCAAAUUACCCAAUCCCAAUGAUAUUGGGGAGGUAGUGACAAAAAAUACUAAUUCGUUGCUCUUUUAGGGUGAUGAAAUUGGAAUGGUAUUGAUAUAUCAAGUGGAUAGAGAAACAAUUAGAGGGCAAGUCUGGUGCCAGCAGCCGCGGUAAUUCCAGCUCUAAUAGUGUAUACUAAAAUUGCUGCAGUUAAAAAGCUCGUAGUUGGAUUUGUGAUACUAGACAUUUUCCAUUUGUUUGGAAGGGAUGGUACUAAGUUUCUUCCUAAAUGGCAGAUGGGUGUGUAGAAUCAUAUGAAGUAUUCGAAGGGGUGUAUUGCAUUUAACUAUGUCAGUAUGCUUUGUCGGAGAGUUUACUUUGAAGAAAAUGGAGUGUUCAAAGCAGGUAAUAAUAAUGCAACUGAACACAUUAGCAUGGAAUAAUAAAAUAGGACACUAAAGAGUAAUCUUGAAAGAGGUUAUUCAUUUUAGCUAUUCUGUAAAAGGGAUGGUUAGAAGUCACUGUUUUGUUGGUCUACAGUGAAAGUGUAAUGAUUAAUAGGGACAGUUGGGGACAUUGGUAUUGCAUCGCUAGAGGUGAAAUUCUUGGAUUGAUGCAAGACGAACGGGUGCGAAAGCAUCUGUCAAGGAUGUUUUCAUUAAUCAAGAACGAAAGUUAGGGGAUCGAAGGCGAUCAGAAACCGCCCUAGUCUUAACUAUAAACUAUGCCAACUAGGGAUUGUCGGGUAAUGGGACAUAUCUAAGGAUAUGUGCUAAUAGCUACAUUUAUUCAUUUUUAUAUAAAUUUGGAUAAAUUGCCUCGCCAGCACCUGUGGAGAAAUCAUAAGUCUUUGGGUUCUGGGGGGAGUAUGGUCACAAGGCUGAAACUUAAAGAAAUUGACGGAAGGGCACCACCAGGUGUGGAGCCUGCGGCUUAAUUUGACUCAACACGGGGAAACUUACCAGGUCCAGACAGCGGAAGGAUUGACAGAUUGAGAGUUUUUUCUUGAUUCGGUGGGUGGUGGUGCAUGGUCGUUCUUAGUUGGUGGAGCGAUUUGUCUGCUUAAUUGCGAUAACGAACGAGACCUCAACCUGCUAACUAAGCUUUGCGGUAGUAUUUUGCUACUGAUUUAUUAAGCUUCUUAGAGGGACAACCACUAUUGAAGUGGGGGAAGCAUGAGGCAAUAACAGGUCUGUGAUGCCCUUAGAUGUCCUGGGCCGCACGCGCGCUACACUGGUUAAAUCAACAAGUUUAGAUAUAAGGAAACUCUCCGGGGUUGACUUUUCUCCUUGUUCGAAAGAAUCGGGUAAUCUUUUGAAUUUUAAUCGUGCUGGGGAUUGAUUUUUGUAAUUAUGGAUCAUGAACUAGGAAUACCUAGUAAGUGCAAAUCAUCAGUUUGCGCUGAUUACGUCCCUGCCCUUUGUACACACCGCCCGUCGCUCCUACCGAUUGAAUGAUCAGACGAAAUGUUCGGAUUGUGUGAAAAGAGGGGGUUAAACUUCUCUUGUUUAUGCAAGAAGAACAGUAAAUCUUAUUAUUUAGA